rnacentral:rRNA from 1 species
GAUGAACGCUAGCUACAGGCUUAACACAUGCAAGUCGAGGGGAAACGACAUCGAAAGCUUGCCUUUGAUGGGCGUCGACCGGCGCACGGGUGAGUAACGCGUAUCCAACCUGCCCAUCACUUGGGAAUAACCUUGCGAAAGUAAGACUAAUACCCAAUGACAUCCCACGAAGACAUCUGAAUGGGAUUAAAGAUUUAUCGGUGAUGGAUGGGGAUGCGUCUGAUUAGCUUGUUGGCGGGGUAACGGCCCACCAAGGCAACGAUCAGUAGGGGUUCUGAGAGGAAGGUCCCCCACAUUGGAACUGAGACACGGUCCAAACUCCUACGGGAGGCAGCAGUGAGGAAUAUUGGUCAAUGGGCGAGAGCCUGAACCAGCCAAGUAGCGUGCAGGAGGACGGCCCUAUGGGUUGUAAACUGCUUUUAUAAGGGAAUAAAGUGGGUCUCGUGAGACUUUUUGCAUGUACCUUAUGAAUAAGGACCGGCUAAUUCCGUG